GGCAGCGCGCGCCUCCCAGCCAGGCGAGGACUCCAAGCCGGACGCGGGGACGCGGGGCGGUGCUAGGAUGAGCGCGGGAGGGCGGGGCCAAAUCCCGUGCGACUCUGCCCUCACCUCCCGCUUACCGUCGCCGCCGGCGCAGGGGCCCGUGGGAAGGGGAGAUGGCCUGCGGUCCCGCGGAGUCUGUUUAGGGUUGGUCGCCAUCUUGAGACUGGGCAAAAAGAAUAAUCUCCCUUUUAAGCCCCUGCUCUCUGUCGCCUAAUAGAAAGAAUUGGGUACACUCUGGAAACCCCAGCGAUCCCCAGAAGGGUUGGAGUCCCUGGCCUACCCAACCAAGAAACGCCUCCGAUUUUAUUGGGGAAUGAAUUGAUUCCGUACGUCAGCUUGGGCAGUGUUGAUAGUCCCCAGGCCCGAGGCAAGGCAGAACCGACAGAUACUAGGUUCCGACCCGAAUUCCUUUUCUCCCAGAGCUGCCCUUGUAAACAUUUCAGGGGUGGCCCGAGAGUGUGAGCCAGUGUUCAAGGACCAAGGUCAUCUGCUUAGGCCACUUGACAACACAGGAUGUGAUUAGAAGAUUCACAUUUGGAAGCUACUGGCAACUGAGAAUGAAAAUCUUUGAAUACGUUAUUAGAAUAAAUAAAGCAAAAUUUUACUACUA